rnacentral:rRNA from 1 species
AUGGAAAAACAGAGCAUCGAAGAAUUGACAUUGUGGUGGGGCGAAGGCGCGAGUUCUGUGGAACACAUGGCGCUGCUCAAAGAGCUAGUGCCACCAACAACUGUGCAGACUUUGAAUAUAUUUGGUUACAAGGGUGUCAUAUUUCCAUACUGGGUUAUGCAGAUAAGCAAAUAUCUUCCUAAUCUUGUGAGCUUGAGGUUGUGGAAUCUGCUGUGCAGCAGCCUACCAACGCUCGUCCAACUACCCAACCUACACAAGAUUUUUCUUGGCUACAUGUAUAGCCUGGAAGAAUUUACCACAGGGUGCUCCAUGAGUGGGGACGGUGCAAAUGAGCUCACGUUGCCUAAACUUGAGCAUCUGGAAAUGUACAGGUGCCCCAAGUUGAGGAUCAAUCCGUAUCCUCCUAGAGCUGUGCACUGGUUUAUAUCAAGUAGUGAUAACGCGCUAUCGUCAUGGGAAGAGUGUGCCUCGACCUCGAGCACACCUGCUUCCUCCUCUUCUCCUCCCGUGCACAAACUGAAAGUUGAGAAGUCCGAGUUGCCUUUGCACCAGUGGAGAUUGCUUCACCACCUUCCUGGCCUUAGUGAUGUAACCAUCUCCGAUUGCGAUGAUCUGACUAUCUCACCACUGUUCGGCCAAGCCUUCAAGUCCCUGGAAUCACUCUCCCUCGAAUGCAUUGAAUUGAAAAUUCUGCCAGAAUGGUUGGGUGAGCUCACAUCUAUUCGACAGCUCAACUUAAUAUGCAUGAACAACCUACAGGGAUUGGAAAAGAACAUGAAGCAACUUACACAGUUGCAAUCACUGAGUUUGAAGCACUGUAAUGCGUUGACAGCACUGCCGCAAUGGUUAGGAGGACUCACUUUGCUCAAGGCACUUGAGAUUCGUUUUUGCAAGAGCAUCAUCUCUUUACCAGAGAGCUUACUCAUCAACCUCCAGGAACUUCAUAUUUUGGACUGCCCUCACUUAUAUGGAUGGUGUAAGUCAGAGGUGAACCAGAUGAAACUCGCUCACAUCAAGGAAAAGAUUAUUAAUAGUACCUUCUAA